GCAGUGGUGGUUCAGUGGUAGAAUUCUUACCUCCCAUGUGGGAGACCUGGCUUCAAUUCCCAGCCAAUGCA
rnacentral:tRNA from 1 species